AUUAAACGCUGGCGGCAUGCCUUACACAUGCAAGUCGAACGGCAGCACGGGGGCAACCCUGGUGGCGAGUGGCGGACGGGUGAGUAAUACAUCGGAACGUGCCCUGGAGUGGGGGAUAACGUAGCGAAAGUUACGCUAAUACCGCAUAUUCUGUGAGCAGGAAAGCAGGGGAUCGCAAGACCUUGCGCUCUGGGAGCGGCCGAUGUCGGAUUAGCUAGUUGGUGGGGUAAAGGCCUACCAAGGCGACGAUCCGUAGCGGGUCUGAGAGGAUGAUCCGCCACACUGGGACUGAGACACGGCCCAGACUCCUACGGGAGGCAGCAGUGGGGAAUUUUGGACAAUGGGCGAAAGCCUGAUCCAGCCAUGCCGCGUGAGUGAAGAAGGCC
rnacentral:rRNA from 1 species